ACUGAGUGGCGGACGGGUGAGUAACGCGUGGGUAACCUGCCUUGUACAGGGGGAUAACAGUUGGAAACGACUGCUAAUACCGCAUAAGCGCACAGUACCGCAUGGUACAGUGUGAAAAACUCCGGUGGUGUAAGAUGGACCCGCGUCUGAUUAGGUAGUUGGUGGGGUAACGGCCCACCAAGCCGACGAUCGGUAGCCGGACUGAGAGGUUGAACGGCCACAUUGGGACUGAGACACGGCCCAGACUCCUACGGGAGGCAGCAUG
rnacentral:rRNA from 1 species